rnacentral:rRNA from 1 species
CGGAUUGUAGUCUGCAACUCGACUACAUGAAGCUGGAAUCGCUGUAAUCGCGAAUCAGAAUGUCGCGGUGAAUACGUUCCCGGGUCUUGUGCACACCGCCCGUCACACCAUGGGAGCCGGGAAUGCCCGAAGUCAGUGGCCCAACCGCAGGGAGGGAGCUGCCGAAGGCAGGCCUGGUGACUGGGGUGAAGUCGUAACAAGGUACC